rnacentral:tRNA from 1 species
UGCUAUCUAUCUAGGAUCAAGUGUUGAACUCAUAACCCAAAGGUCGGUGGUUCAAAUCCACCCCCCGCAACCA